rnacentral:tRNA from 1 species
UAAAAUAAAGCUUUAAGAAGUUUUUUAGUUACAUUAAAAAGAUAAUGAUAUUUCAUUUAUUUUAA